GUCCCCAUAGAACCCCGUAAGGACCCCAUAGGACCCCUUUAAGACCCCAUAGAGCCCCAUGGGACCCCAUAAAGCCCCCAUCGGACCCCUUUAAGCCUCCAUAGUACCCCAUAGAGCCCCAUAGGACCGCAUAAGGACCCCAUAGAGCCCCAUAAGGACCCCAUAGAGCCCCAUAGGACCCCAUAGAACCCCAUAGGACCCCAUAAGAACCCCAUAAAGACUCCUUUAAGCCCCCAUAGAGCCCCAUAGAACCCCAUAGGACCCCAUAGAGCCUCAUAAGGACCCCAUAGGCCCCCAUAAAGCCCCAUAGAACCCCAUAAGGACCCCAUAGAGCCUCAUAAGGACCACAUAGGACCCCAUAAAGACCCCAUAAGACCCCAUAGGACCCCAUAGAGCCCCAUAGGACCCCAUAGAACCCCUUUAAGCCCCCAUAGGACCCCAUAAAGCCCCAAUAAGACCCCAUAUAACCCCAUAAAAGCCCCAUAGGGACCCCAUAAGAACCCCAUAAGGACCCCAUAGAGCCCCAUAGGACCCCUUUAAGCCUCCAUAGAACCCCAUAGGACCCCAUAGGGACCCCAUAAGGACCCCAUAGGACCCCAUAGAGCCCCAUAGGACCCCAUAAGGACCCCAUAGGACCGCAUAUUGCCCCAUAGGACCCCAUAAAGACCCCAUAGGACCCUUUGAGGCCCCAUAGAACCCAUAGGACCCCAUAGAGCCUUAUGAGGACCCCAUAGAACCCCUUUAAGCCCCCAUAGGACCCCAUAGGGACCCCAUAAGACCCCAUAAAACCCCAUGGGGACCCCAUAAAGACCCCAUAGGGACCCCAUAAGGACCCCAUAGAGCCCCAUAAGACCUCAUAGAGCCCCAUAGGACCCCAUUGGACCCCAUAUAACCCCAUAAGGACCCCAUAGGACCCCAUAAAGACCACUUUAAGCCCCCAUAGAUCCUCAUAAGGACCCCAUAGAGCCCCAUAGGGCCCCAUAAGGACCCCAUAAGGACCCCAUAGAGCCCCAUAGGACCCCUUUAAGCCCCCAUAGGACCCCAUAAAGCCCCCAUAAGACCCCAUAGGACCUCAUAAAGACCACAUAGAGCCCCACAGAGCCUCGCAAGGACCCCAUAGGGACCCCAUAGAACCCCAUGGGGACCCCAUAAGAACCCCAUAAGGACCCCAUAGAACCCCAUAAGACCUCAUAGAGCCCCAUAGGACCCCAUUGGACCCCAUAAAACCCCAUAAGGACCCCAUAGGAGCCCAUAAGACCCCAUAGGACCCCAUAGGACCCCAUAAAGCCCCCAUAGAGUCCCAUAGGACCCCAUAGAACCCCUUUAAGCCCCCAUAGGACCCCAUAAAGCCCCCAUAGAUCCCCAUAAGGACCCCAUAAGGACCCUAUAGGACCCCUUUAAACCCCCAUAGGACCCCAUAAAGACCUCAUAGAGUCCCAUAGGACUCAUUUAAGCCCCCAAAGGACCCCAUAAGGACCCCAUAGAACCCCAUAAGACCCUUUUAAGCCCCCAUAAGGACCCCAUAGAGCCCCAUAGGACCCUAUAAAGACCCCAUAGGGCCCCAUAAGGACCCCAUAGGACCCCAUAAAGACCCCAUAAAGACCACUUGAAGCCCCCAUAGAACCCCAUAGGACCCCAUAGAGCCUCAUAAGGACCCCAUAGGACCCCAUAAGACCCCAUAAGGACCCCAUAAGACCCCAUAAGGACCCCAUAGGACCCCAUAAGACCCCAUAGAACUCCAUGAGACCCUUUUAAUCCCACAUAAGGACCCCAUAGAGCCUCAUAAGGACCCCAUAGGACCCCAUAGGGCCCCAUAAGACCCCAUAGGACCCCAUAAAGACCCCAUACAACCCCUUCAAGCCCCCAUACAACCCCAUAAAGCCCCCAUAAGACCCCAUAGGACCCCAUAAAGACCCCAUAGAGCCCCACAGAGCCUCAUAAGGACCCCAUAGGACCCCAUAGAUCCCCUUUAAGCCCCCAUAGGACCCCAUAAAGACCCCAUAGGACCCCAUAGAACCCCA
ensembl:lncRNA